rnacentral:rRNA from 1 species
CGCGUAGGCGGACCUCCCAGUCCGGGGUGAAAGCUUUCGGCUUAACCGGAAAAGUGCCUUGGAUACUGGAGGUCUUGAGGGAGGUAGGGGGCAGCUGGAACUUCCGGUGGAGCGGUGAAAUGCGUUGAUAUCGGAAGGAACGCCGGUGGCGAAAGCGAGCUGCUGGAUCUCUACUGACGCUGAGGCGCGAAAGCCAGGGGAGCGAACGGGAUUAGAUACCCCGGUAGUCCUGGCCCUAAACGAUGGGUACUGGAUGUAGCCCUUCACCGGGCUGUGUCGAAGCUAACGCAUUAAGUGCUCCGCCUGGGGAGUACGGUCGCAAGGCUGAA